rnacentral:pre_miRNA from 12 species
UGUGGCCGUCGGACCCCGUGCGGCUGGAAGGGGGGCCGUUACACUGUAAGAGAGUGAGUAGCAGGUCUCACAGUGAACCGGUCUCUUUUCCUGCUGUGUCACGCCACUCCGGAUGACU